rnacentral:rRNA from 1 species
CAGCAGCCGCGGUAAAACGUAGGUGGCAAGCGCUGUCCGGAAUUAUUGGGCGUAAAGGGCUCGCAGGCGGUUUCUUAAGUCUGAUGUGAAAGCCCCCGGCUCAACCGGGGAGGGUCAUUGGAAACUGGGAAACUUGAGUGCAGAAGAGGAGAGUGGAAUUCCACGUGUAGCGGUGAAAUGCGUAGAGAUGUGGAGGAACACCAGUGGCGAAGGCGACUCUCUGGUCUGUAACUGACGCUGAGGAGCGAAAGCGUGGGGAGCGAACAGGAUUAGAUACCCCUGUAGUCCCUGUCUCUUAUAC